rfam:Camelus ferus unplaced genomic scaffold scaffold1402, whole genome shotgun sequence.
GUGGGUAUAGCUCAGUGGUAGAGUAUGUGAUUAGCAUGCAUGAGGUCCUGGGUUCCAGCCCCAGUACCUCUG